CCCCGAUGGGAGGGGCAAAGGAGGUGGCGAUGGAGGGGGUGGUCCUGAUGGGAGGGGCAGAUGAGGUGGCGAUGGAGGAGGUGGCCCCGGAGGGCGAGAGGACGCCCAUCGUGAUUGAGGGUAAGAGACAUGCUGUUAAUGAGACGGAGCAGGUGGUCGGCAAGAGGUUGAGAGUGCCGUCACAGUAUGUUGUUUCCCCCUUCACGGCUGAGGCCAAGAGGAGGACGUUUAUCGAUGGGACGCACCCGAACUUAUUUAGAGAGGUGGAUAAUGCCAAGUAGAAAGCAUUCGAGACGGAGUGGAGGAGAAUUAUCCCCGGAUAAGUAUUUUAUGAUUUUAAUAAAGCACUGUACGCUAACUCGUCUAUGCUUAUUUUAACAUUUCCCUAUUUUUUUAGCGCUACCCGCACGAUAGGUAAUCGGACGGUCUCGGACGCUUACAAGUGGUUCCACGAUAUCACGACUUCGGGGGCUUAGCUUGCCGACGAUGUAAGUGAACUAUUCAUUUCGUGUUUUGUAUGUAUACGUCACUUUGUAUUUAUUAAAUGAAUAACUCAUAAUUUUUUGGUGUUUCUUGAUGCAGCACAUCAACCUGGCCAUGGACUUGCUGCGAGAUCGAGCUCAGAGACAUCCAAAAUCAUUUGACGUCCAUGGUCAAGUCAUAUUAAAUACCGAGUUCCUGCGUACUGUUACCAUAGAGUAUCAGUCGCUCCAACUUAUGGGUAACGAGUACACGGUGCCAGAAUAUAUGCUCGAGUGGGUCAUAGGAUUGUUGCCGAGUGUCGAGGGAAAAUCAUGUGAGGGUUGUACACAUAUGUACAUUCCAGCAUACAUCAAUAAGCACUAUGUUACGCAGGAAAUCGUUUUUGCUGACACGACUAUAUAUGUGUACGACCCAAAUCAUUCAAGUUUGACGCAAGGUCAGCUGGAGCAAAACCUGGAGUCCGUAGCUGUAAUUGUUCCUAUGAUGGUCAGAUAAGUGGGGAUGACUGUACAGGAUAGAUUGCGGAUUGUUCAGAACACGACGACAUCGCAACAAUUCGUAAGGUAAAUGUUUGAACUUUGUUAUUUUCAUUUUUUAGAUUUAGUUUUUUAGCUACACAGUACUGAACUGAUCAAUUUUUGUUCAAUUGUAGCGGCGACUGCGGCAUAUUUGUCAUUAAGUACGUUAAAUUUUUAAGUAUAGGACAUAUGGUUGAUGGAAUCAACCAAUCGUGGAUACAGAACUGGAGAAAAAAGCUAGUAUGUGAUUUGUUCGAAUUUAAUGGUGAUCCGUAAAUUUGUAUUAAAUAUAUGUAACAUUCGAAUUAUAAAUUUAAUUAUUUUUUGUGAUUAUGAAAUAAUUAUAAAUUUGUGUUCGAUGUAUAUAACAUUCACA
rnacentral:lncRNA from 1 species